CUUAAAUGCAGUAUCUGAUUAAUGUUGUAAGUGACAUUGCAUAUCAGCCUCAGAGUCUUGGCUCAACUGGGUAGGAGGGAACAAAGAAAAAUGUCAUCAACUGCUGAUGCAGGAUGAGCCCAAUCACUAACCACUGUUUAGCAAACUCCAAAUUCUGCAACCAGGCAGUAGAAGGCAUUUCUUGCACUUAAGCAGGGCGGCCGCACAAUGAAUGAGUCCUUCUGCUUCUGAAAAUCAAACAGUCCUUUUGCUAAGGAAGAAAAUCAGCUGGAAUGAAUACUGUCAUAUCCUCUUCUUGGAGAGAGCUUGCAAUACACAUCCUGUUCCAGGGCCUAGGUGCCCGAAAGUCUCCAGUCUGUCCUGAACCUGAAGUCACCUUGGAUUCCAGGAAUGUAAAGCCUCGCAGGUCACCCCUUGAUGAGAUCACCCUUAAGUGGAAGCAAUGUUCCUAUGUUGGGAACCGAGGAGCAACCAUCUCAUGGGAACUGGCUUGUCCUCUCCGCUGAUAAGGACUUUUCCAGAAUUGCCCUGUAGAAUGAAGACUGAGGUGGACCACAGACUGAUGGAGGCUGCUUAAUUAUGCAUGUGAUGUACAAUUUCUCCUCGCCCUAGCCCUACAGCUGCUGUCAGGUCCCAGAAGACUUAGUGCUUCAUCUCUGUCUUCCCUGGUCAAAUUGCUUCCUGGUCAAAAUGCUUCCCUGAUUUUCCAUUAUUACUUUCCCACUGAUUUCCGGGGCUAAUGGACAGACCUGAUUUGUUGGGACUCCUGGAGUCCGACCACUGGCCACUCCAGACUUUAGUAAGUGAACUAAUACAUAAUGCACUUGUUACAAUGCGAUGUAACCAUCUGUUGCUUUUACUUUUACUCUGAUAACUAGGUAAAGACCCAGAUAUUUAACAGGGAACUCCAAAUACCAGUAUAUGGAGUCUUAUCUUUGAGAGGAGAGUGAGGUGUUAGAGGUUACUCCUCUCCAUCUGGCUGGGUACACAGAAGUAGAGUGAGUCCUGUCUGGCUGCCAAUAGGUCAUUUGCUCGUCCAUGGGGUAUUAUUAAUCACCACCGGUCCAGCUCUGUUGUUCACUCAGCUGAUGUUUACAGAUUACCUGGGCUCCCAGAGUUUGCGUUGUGAAAGAUCUCCGUCUGGGUUUUAGCCUCCAGCCCUCACUCAUACAAUGCAGGUUUGGCAUCCCUGGUCCUCCUGUCAAAAUUCCUCUGUCCACCACCCACCUCCAGAAACUCUUUGAAAUCACUUCUCUGCCGUGAGACCCCUGGAUUUGUGUCAUUUUUCAAGUGCUUUUGCUAUUAUCUUAGUAUCAUCUUGGUUAGGAGAAAUCAAGCAUGUUUAAUCUGCUAUCUUUCAUCAAAUACUUGUUUACUGUCCGGGUAGGUACAAUUCCAGGGUCCCAUGUCUGAAGUCCUAGGCCUUUUGCAUGCUUUUCUUGAAGUUGAAGGUCCUGGACACUUCUGAGGCAAGGUAGUCCUCCCCCAGGUGACACGCUGUAGUUGAGAGCCCUUUAGAGAUUGUCGCCAAGUGCAGCCCCCAACCCCCAGUCUUUCUGAAUUUGCAAUUAGCAGUGGAAAGGAUUUUAGGCAAGGGUUCAGGAACAAUGUUCCAAGUAAUGAUGGAAACCAUUUAUGAAUAAGAUAUAACUACUGCCAAGCUCUGGCGUCCUUGUGAGCAUGCCUUUUACUGUAACUACCAACAUCUCAUUCCUCUGGGCCAGUGCAGGAAGUCAGUACACAUACUAGCUCCAGAAUGGAUGUGAGUUCUUCCUUUACAAUAGAGGAGUAAUUCCAUUCUGAAUCAGAGUCAUUCAUUGGCUUCUAAUUCACUAUUACCAUUACGUUCACAAUACGAAUGUGCUGAGUAAAAGAUAGUGGAAUUCACGAGCAUUUAGGCAUUUUAAAAUGUUACUGGCAAUUGACUAUAACUUCCACAGAUGAAGAACAAACCCUCAACCAGCUAACCAGAAAUAACAGUAAAUUGGUAACCACAUCCCUAUUUAAGGGAUAUGAUAAUAGUUGUCCGUGUCUAUGGCUAUACCACCCUGAAUGUACCCGAUCUCAAUUGGUAAUAGUUGACCAUGUUAAAGGAAAACCAUGUUAUAGUAUAAGAAAGAUGUCAUUCUGGACAAUUUUCAGUAUUAGAUGUGCUUAGAGCUCAUCAAAGAGUCACAGGAAAACAGAGGCACAGGGCCCCUCUCCCCAGCUGGCAGCUGGCACCUGAUGUUCUCAGAACUCAAGAGUUAGAAUGUUGCCUGCAGCCUGCUACAUGAUGGAGACCAUGAUCAGAGAAGGGGGCAGGAAACAGCCCCAGGAUGUCCAUCAGAUAAAGCUGUGCACCCUGAAUGAUAGGAUGAGGAUUUGGAAGGAGUGUCUUAGAAAAGUGCAAGUAGUGUAACUCUCUGGAGUACCAGGGAAGGGGACAGGGAUGUCCUGUGACUCGGACUAGAGAAACCAAUCUUGCGCUGAAUCAGCAUGCCACCCAGAUUCACCCUUUCCUGACGCUGCUUGUCUCUUUCUGCAGAAUGCUGCAUUAAAAAUAGUUGCACUUUCACAGACUGAGGGUCUUCUCAGUCACAUGUGCGUUGAUCACCACUGAAUCAGAGCAGCAGUGAUCAUCAGUAUGCAUGUCGUCAAGAUGGGAUUUAAAGUGGAAAAUUGUUUACACAGAUGACAGAAUCAGAGACGCUCAGAUUAGUGGCAGCAGGAGUCACUCCCAGUCUGUGUGACAGGAACAAUCAGAGUCUACUGGGGUCACUGACAGCAGUUGGAGACAGGGCAGAUUUCCUGACUGGAGCCAUCCCAUAGUUAGAAUCAGUGGCACAUUCAAGGCCCACAGGCUUAGCAAAAGACGUCUGGCCUUUCCCUCUCUCCCAUCCUCCAGCGGUUCUCAUAGACUGAUUCCAACAGUAGCCUCCCUGACCUGCAAGCCUGGGAAACCUGUUUGCAAGGGUCGGCACCUGUAACGCAGAGCCAUUAGGAGAAGCAUGAAGAAUGGAUCUGAAAGCAAGCAGACUAUGCCCUGUGCAUUGCAUUGCACGCAUUAUGGACACUCCUUAGAUUAAAUGUCUGGUAAGACACUCUGCAUCAUAUAAAUAUGUGUGUAUGUAUGCUUCUGCAGCUCCCUGCCUGCAGUCAAAUGAGCCAUAAGCUGUUGCUAAUCUAGCUGUCAAUGACAUGAUAUUUUAAAAUUUAUAAGCCAGGAAGUUUAUUGACCAUCCAUCUUUGAACAGAAAAUUAUUUCCAUCUUCUGGUUUUAUUUCCAGCCACAACACUACGAGUAUCUGGUCUCAGAUGCAUGGCUACCAUUCCCAUGACUGCAUAAACACCACACAACCCACACACAUACUGCUUUGUCUGUGUGCCCUUUAAACCAACGCCAUCUAAGCUUAACGACAUUUUUUGGGCAAUUUUCACAAGAAGGUAAUAGAGUAACAUUCUGAAACCUGGCCUUCACAGGUGACAGAGGACUGCUCCUUCUCUCUCUCUAAAAGCUGGUGGAGAAGUACGGGGCUGGCUAUUUACCCUCACCCUUUCCACCUGGCAGGUGGCAGGAUAAAGCAUUAGUUGCAGACAGUGCCGUCUUAGAUUCUGAAACGUACAGGACUUGUGGAGAAUGCUGGCGUCUGGCCUUCUUUAGCUGAGAGCAUCCAGCUACAAAGGAGGUGGGAAAGGCUGAGAAGCAGCGCUGGCAGUCUGCUGUCUCCAAAGUCUGAUGGGCCAGCAUUCAGACAACCAGGCUGUACACACCCCUGUGGGUACCAACUCACUUCCGACUUCUCUGAGUCCAAGGGUCUCAUUGUCACUUUCCCUUUGAUCAAGAAGACUUUAAAUAAUGAGAAAAUGGAACCCCAAAGCCGUAGGUUGUGCUGGCUACUGCAUCCUCGCCUUUUGCUGCAAAGAGGUUACAGCUUGGAAGAACAAAAGAAACCUCAUACGCAUCCUAAAUAAUGGUAACAACAUCGGGUAGGAGGGAGAAGAGAAGACUAUGUAAUAAAUUAGAGGGGGUACAUCCCCAGGCAAAUGAUUAGCCCUUAUUCCAGUGUUGUUAGGCCCUGUAGAAAAAAAGGUCUGCAUAGCAGCUGCUCAGACCAGCUAAAGCAGCCUCUGGAGGGACCUGGAUAGGCAAGAAUUCUGGAGGGCCCUGUGAUUUCAGCCCUUAGCAGUGUUGGGAAGCCCCAGCAAGCCCCGAAGACAGCAGGAGUUCCUGGCAGAGGCGUGGCUUUCCCAGCUGAGGAAUCUCAGCACUGCUCAGAACAGUGGAACCCAGCAGAGGGGAGACUAGACUCGGUGGAGGAGGAAGCUCUAAACAGUGCUUGCAACAAACAGCAUGUGUCUGCAGUCAUUUGUAUGCACGCACAAGCUCUUAUGUGGCAUAUUUUUUAUUUUCUCUUGUGGGGUAAUUAGGAGAGGAAUCGCUGGGUCAUGUGGAAAGUUUAACAUUCUGAAGAACUGCUAUGUCCUUUUCCCAACAAAUCCCACCAGCAGUGUAUGAACCUUCAUAGCUCUCCAUCCUCAUCAAUGUUUGCUACAAUCUGUCCUUUCCAUUGCAGCCAUCAUAGAGGGAUAUGGUAUGUCAUUGUGGUUGUGAUUGGCAUUUCCCUGGUGAUUAAUAAUUUGAGCAUCUUCUCACAUAUUUGUUAAACACAUUAAAAUUUCAUUUAUUUUAUGUGUGUAUGUGUAUGUAUGUGUUGUGUGUGUUGUGUGUUGUGUGUGUGUUCAUGGGUGUGUAUGUGGGUAGGUAGAGAGAAGGGUAAUAGUGACAUGUGUCAUGAUGUGUGUGUGUGUGUGUGUGUGUGUGUGUGUGUGUGUGUGUGUGUGUGUAAAUCAGGGGAUAACUCAGGUUCCAGUUCUCUCCCUCUACCAUGUGGGUUGGGUUCUAGGAUCGGAACCCAGGUCAUCAGGUGCCUUUAACUCACUUAGCCAGCUCAGCAACUCAAACCAUUUAUAUAACUUCUUUAAAGAAAUGCCCAUUUGGGUUAUUAGUCUUUUUAUUAUUGGGCUGUAAAGUGAGUCUUCAUAUAUUCUAGGUAUAAGUCCCGCUUUAGAAAUCAUUUGCAAAUAAUUUUUCCUGUUGUGCCGGCUGUUCUAGGAUGCUUCUCUCCCCCUCCCUCUCCUGUGUUCACGUUGGCACAGGUGAACGUGUGUGCCUUAGUGUGUGUGUGUUCCUCUAGCAUCUUCCUCCUUGGUGCUUUGUUUGGUUUUGGUUUUUUUGAGACAGGGUUUCUCACUGCCCUAGACGUUCCCCAAGUCAGUGAGGCUAGCUAGCCAGUGAACCCCAGGAAUGUGCCCGUCUCAGUGUCCCCAUCACUGGAAUUAGCGCGUCAUCACACCCCCUGUUCUUUUUAAAUGUGAUCUAGGGAUCAAACUCUGGUCUUCAUGCUUACAAGACAAGCACUUUAUCAACUGUUCCGUUGCUGGAGCCUGGAGCCUGUUUCCUAAUCUGAUUUUUAAUCAUAGUUUCCAGUAUCUGAUGCACUGGAUUCAUCUGAUGCACUGGUCUUUCGGGCAAGUCUUUAAUCAUCCCUUUUACUUCUGCCCAACUCCAACUUCCUUAGAAUAAAUAAAAGCUUCAUUUCUCUUGUUAUAUGAAAACUGGAACUGGACGUGUGAACUGUUCAUGUGUUAAUGAACUUCCUAAAAAAUGCCUGACUAGCUAACUCACCUGAGAGAGCUCUGGGGGUUCCAGGCAUUGCCAUGUUUGGCCCUUCUGCUUCUGGCCUGUGGUGAGGCUACACAUUAUGGUGGGAAGUGUAUUACCAUGCAAAACUGCUCACUUCGUGGUGGGCAAGUGAGCAAGAGGUGGGGAGUUUUCUACCCCCUUCUGCUACACACCCACAAGGCCACACACCUCCUAAAGUUUCUGCUGCCACCCAGUACUGCCAUAGUAGACACUAAGCCCUCAAUACAUGGGCCUUCAUGGGACAUUUAACAUUCAAAUUACAGGAGCUUAAGACUCGGAAGUACAAAUGACUUUUUUUUCAUGUAUCUGUGUGUGUGUAUGGUAUGCAUGUAUGUGUGUUCAUAUGUAUAGGGGCACAUAUAAGUGUGUGUGCAUACCUGUAUGUGUGCAUGAUGGCCUGAGGCUAAUAUAGACUCUUCUUCAAUUGCUCUUCACCUUAUUCAUUGAACCCAGAGUUUGCUAAUAUAACUACCUAGUUUGCCUCCAGGAAUCUUGCUCAGCCAACUCAUGUAGGUUCAAGGUAGUCUAAGCUCUAGGCUCAUACUUGGGCAGCAAAUGUUUUAUAUACUGAGCCAUCUUCUCAGCCCCUAAAUGACUUUUUAGUAACAGAUUAUUUUAUUUUAUUGUACAAAUGUUUUGCUUGCAUUAUAUAUGUGUACCACAAGCAUGCCUGGUGCCCACAGAGGUCAGAAAAGAGCAUUGGAUCUUCUGAAAUGGGAGUUAGGAUGGUUGAGCUACCAUGUAGCUGCUGGGAAUUGAACCUGUGGCUUCUGCAAGAGCAGCAAGUGCUCUACACCACUAAGCCAUGUCUGCAGCCCCCUCCCUAGUAUAAUUUUUGAACAAUAAACUUUUAAAUAAAAUACUAAGCCUU